CAUUUCCUAGCGGCGGACGGGUGAGUAAUGCUUAGGAAUCUGCCUAUUAGUGGGGGACAACAUUUCGAAAGGAAUGCUAAUACCGCAUACGCCCUACGGGGGAAAGCAGGGGAUCUUCGGACCUUGCGCUAAUAGAUGAGCCUAAGUCAGAUUAGCUAGUUGGUGGGGUAAAGGCCUACCAAGGCGACGAUCUGUAGCGGGUCUGAGAGGAUGAUCCGCCACACUGGGACUGAGACACGGCCCAGACUCCUACGGGAGGCAGCAGUGGGGAAUAUUGGACAAUGGGGGGAACCCUGAUCCAGCCAUGCCGCGUGUGUGAAGAAGGCCUUUUGGUUGUAAAGCACUUUAAGCGAGGAGGAGGCUCCUUUAGUUAAUACCUAAAGUGAGUGGACGUUACUCGCAGAAUAAGCACCGGCUAACUCUGUGCCAGCAGCCGCGGUAAUACAGAGGGUGCGAGCGUUAAUCGGAUUUACUGGGCGUAAAGCGUGCGUAGGUGGCCAAUUAAGUCAAAUGUGAAAUCCCUGAGCUUAACUUAGGA
rnacentral:rRNA from 1 species